ensembl:misc_RNA Metazoa_SRP Metazoan signal recognition particle RNA
GCCGGGCGCAGUGGCGCGUGCUUGUAGUCCCAGCUACUCGGAAGGCCGAGGCUGGAGGAUCGCUUGAGCCCAGGAGUUCUGGGCUGUAGUGCGCUAUGCCGAUCGGUAUUCACACUAAGUUCGGCAUCAAUAUGGUGACCUCCCGGGAGUGGGGGACCACCACGCUGCCUAAGGAGGGGUGAAUCGGCCCAGGUCGGAAAUGGACCAAGUCAAUACUCCUGUGCUGAUCAGCAGUGGGAUCGCGCCUGUGAAUAGCCACUGCACUCCAGCCUGGCAACAUAGCGAGACCCUCUCUU